AAUUCCAAUCGAACUCGGAGAUAGCUGGUUCUAUCCGAAAUACAUUUAGGUGUAGCCUUGCAAUUAGCUUACUGGAGGUAGAGCACUAUUUGGUCUAGGGGCCCUUCAAGGGUUACCAAAAUCAGAUAAACUCCGAAUGCCAGCUAAGUAUGUGCAGGAGUCAGACGGUGAGUGAUAAGAUCCAUCGUCAAAAGGGGAACAGCCCAGAUCACCAGUUAAGGUCCCUAAAUAUAUG
rnacentral:rRNA from 1 species